CUUAUUUUUAUGUAAGAGUGACGGGCGAUAUGUACAUGGCAAAUAGCUUUUUAAGAUCUUGAUUAUUUCUAUCCUAUCUUAGUAUUAAGUCCUUUUUCUUCUUUUUUUCUUUAGGAUUUCAUGAUUCAGAAUUGUAUUCCAUUCUCUCUAAUAUAUGUCCUUUGUCUUGAUCUGUUUAGGAAUUUUAGAGGUUAGAGGUAGAUUUUCUUUUCUUCCUUAAACGAUGAUAUAAAAAGUUAUAAAAUAAGUUUCUUGCAAUGUGGGCUAUCUAUAACGGAAUAGAAUCCCCUAAGUAGAUUUGUCACCGCCAUUUUAUUUAGUUUUUCCUUAUUUAGGGACUCCCUUAUAUUUUUUUAAAA
rnacentral:rRNA from 1 species